rnacentral:lncRNA from 1 species
GCAAUAUGGAAGCUAAACCCUAAACCCAAGCAAACAAAAAUUUUCAAACCCGAUUUUGGACUUGUUUUUUUUUUAAUUGUUUUUUUUAAUGGGGCUACAUGCCGAUUUUGGACUUGUUUUUUUUUUAAUUUUUUUUUUAUUAGGGCUACAUGCCGUUUUUGGACUUGUGUUUUUUUUUAAUUGUUUUUUUUAAAGGGGUUACAUGCCGACACUGUAGUAUAGUAUGCCUUUAGCCCUUAGCCUUUAGCCCUUAGCCCUUAGACUUAGCACUUAGC